rnacentral:rRNA from 1 species
AGACCCGAAACCCGGUGAUCUAGCCAUGGGCAGGUUGAAGGUUGGGUAACACUAACUGGAGGACCGAACCGACUAAUGUUGAAAAAUUAGCGGAUGACCUGUGGCUGGGGGUGAAAGGCCAAUCAAACCGGGAGAUAGCUGGUUCUCCCCGAAAGCUAUUUAGGUAGCGCCUCGUGAAUUCAUCUCCGGGGGUAGAGCACUGUUUCGGCUAGGGGGCCAUCCCGGCUUACCAACCCGAUGCAAACUGCGAAUACCGGAGAAUGUUAUCACGGGAGACACACGGCGGGUGCUAACGUCCGUCGUGAAGAGGGAAACAACCCAGACCGCCAGCUAAGGUCCCAAAGUCAUGGUUAAGUGGGAAACGAUGUGGGAAGGCCCAGACAGCCAGGAUGUUGGCUUAGAAGCAGCCAUCAUUUAAAGAAAGCGUAAUAGCUCACUGGUCGAGUCGGCCUGCGCGGAAGAUGUAACGGGGCUAAACCAUGCACCGAAGCUGCGGCAGCGACACUCAGGUGUUGUUGGGUAGGGGAGCGUUCUGUAAGCCUGUGAAGGUGUGUCGUGAGGCAUGCUGGAGGUAUCAGAAGUGCGAAUGCUGACAUAAGUAACGAUAAAGCGGGUGAAAAGCCCGCUCGCCGGAAGACCAAGGGUUCCUGUCCAACGUUAAUCGGGGCAGGGUGAGUCGACCCCUAAGGCGAGGCCGAAAGGCGUAGUCGAUGGGAAACGGGUUAAUAUUCCCGUACUUGGUGUUACUGCGAAGGGGGGACGGAGAAGGCUAUGUUGGCCGGGCGACGGUUGUCCCGGUUUAAGCGUGUAGGUGUGUGUUCCAGGUAAAUCCGGUUCACUUUAACACUGAGGCGUGAUGACGAGGCACUACGGUGCUGAAGCAACAAAUGCCCUGCUUCCAGGAAAAGCCUCUAAGCAUCAGGUAACAUCAAAUCGUACCCCAAACCGACACAGGUGGUCAGGUAGAGAAUACCAAGGCGCUUGAGAGAACUCGGGUGAAGGAACUAGGCAAAAUGGUGCCGUAACUUCGGGAGAAGGCACGCUGACACGUAGGUGAAGUGAUUUACUCAUGGAGCUGAAGUCAGUCGAAGAUACCAGCUGGCUGCAACUGUUUAUUAAAAACACAGCACUGUGCAAACACGAAAGUGGACGUAUACGGUGUGACGCCUGCCCGGUGCCGGAAGGUUAAUUGAUGGGGUCAGCGCAAGCGAAGCUCCUGAUCGAAGCCCCGGUAAACGGCGGCCGUAACUAUAACGGUCCUAAGGUAGCGAAAUUCCUUGUCGGGUAAGUUCCGACCUGCACGAAUGGCGUAAUGAUGGCCAGGCUGUCUCCACCCGAGACUCAGUGAAAUUGAACUCGCUGUGAAGAUGCAGUGUACCCGCGGCAAGACGGAAAGACCCCGUGAACCUUUACUAUAGCUUGACACUGAACAUUGAGCCUUGAUGUGUAGGAUAGGUGGGAGGCUUUGAAGCGUGGACGCCAGUCUGCGUGGAGCCGACCUUGAAAUACCACCCUUUAAUGUUUGAUGUUCUAACGUGGACCCGUGAUCCGGGUUGCGGACAGUGUCUGGUGGGUAGUUUGACUGGGGCGGUCUCCUCCUAAAGAGUAACGGAGGAGCACGAAGGUUGGCUAAUCCUGGUCGGACAUCAGGAGGUUAGUGCAAUGGCAUAAGCCAGCUUGACUGCGAGCGUGACGGCGCGAGCAGGUGCGAAAGCAGGUCAUAGUGAUCCGGUGGUUCUGAAUGGAAGGGCCAUCGCUCAACGGAUAAAAGGUACUCCGGGGAUAACAGGCUGAUACCGCCCAAGAGUUCAUAUCGACGGCGGUGUUUGGCACCUCGAUGUCGGCUCAUCACAUCCUGGGGCUGAAGUAGGUCCCAAGGGUAUGGCUGUUCGCCAUUUAAAGUGGUACGCGAGCUGGGUUUAGAACGUCGUGAGACAGUUCGGUCCCUAUCUGCCGUGGGCGCUGGAGAACUGAGGGGGGCUGCUCCUAGUACGAGAGGACCGGAGUGGACGCAUCACUGGUGUUCGGGUUGUCAUGCCAAUGGCACUGCCCGGUAGCUAAAUGCGGAAGAGAUAAGUGCUGAAAGCAUCUAAGCACGAAACUUGCCCCGAGAUGAGUUCUC